UACGAAGGGGGCUAGCGUUGUUCGGAAUCACUGGGCGUAAAGCGCACGUAGGCGGAUGUGUCAGUCAGGGGUGAAAUCCCGGGGCUCAACCUCGGAACUGCCUCUGAUACAGCACAUCUUGAGUCCGGAAGAGGUGGGUGGAAUUCCUAGUGUAGAGGUGAAAUUCGUAGAUAUUAGGAAGAACACCGGUGGAGCGAAGGCGGCCCACUGGUCCGGUACUGACGCUGAGGUGCGAAAGCGUGGGGAGCA
rnacentral:rRNA from 1 species